GAUGAACGCUGGCGGCGUGCCUAAUACAUGCAAGUCGAGCGAACAGACGAGGAGCUUACUCCUCUGACGUUAGCGGCGGACGGGUGAGUAACACGUGGAUAACCUACCUAUAAGACUGGGAUAACUUCGGGAAACCGGAGCUAAUACCGGAUAACAUGUUGAACCGCAUGGUUCAACAGUGAAAGACGGUCUUGCUGUCACUUAUAGAUGGAUCCGCGUCGCAUUAGCUAGUUGGUAAGGUAACGGCUUACCAAGGCAACGAUGCGUAGCCGACCUGAGAGGGUGAUCGGCCACACUGGAACUGAGACACGGUCCAGACUCCUACGGGAGGCAGCAGUAGGGAAUCUUCCGCAAUGGGCGAAAGCCUGACGGAGCAACGCCGCGUGAGUGAAGAAGGUCUUCGGAUCGUAAAACUCUGUUAUUAGGGAAGAACAAAUGUGUAAGUAACUAUGCACGUCUUGACGGUACCUAAUCAGAAAGCCACGGCUAACUACGUGCCAGCAGCCGCGGUAAUACGUAGGUGGCAAGCGUUAUCCGGAAUUAUUGGGCGUAAAGCGCGCGUAGGCGGUUUUUUAAGUCUGAUGUGAAAGCCCACGGCUCAACCGUGGAGGGUCAUUGGAAACUGGAAAACUUGAGUGCAGAAGAGGAAAGUGGAAUUCCAUGUGUAGCGGUGAAAUGCGCAGAGAUAUGGAGGAACACCAGUGGCGAAGGCGACUUUCUGGUCUGUAACUGACGCUGAUGUGCGAAAGCGUGGGGAUCAAACAGGAUUAGAUACCCUGGUAGUCCACGCCGUAAACGAUGAGUGCUAAGUGUUAGGGGGUUUCCGCCCCUUAGUGCUGCAGCUAACGCAUUAAGCACUCCGCCUGGGGAGUACGGCCGCAAGGCUUAAACUCAAAGGAAUUGACGGGGACCCGCACAAGCGGUGGAGCAUGUGGUUUAAUUCGAAGCUACGCGAAGAACCUUACCAAAUCUUGACAUCCUUUGACCGCUCUAGAGAUAGAGUCUUCCCCUUCGGGGGACAAAGUGACAGGUGGUGCAUGGUUGUCGUCAGCUCGUGUCGUGAGAUGUUGGGUUAAGUCCCGCAACGAGCGCAACCCUUAAGCUUAGUUGCCAUCAUUCAGUUGGGCACUCUAAGUUGACUGCCGGUGACAAACCGGAGGAAGGUGGGGAUGACGUCAAAUCAUCAUGCCCCUUAUGAUUUGGGCUACACACGUGCUACAAUGGACAAUACAAAGGGCAGCGAAACCGCGAGGUCAAGCAAAUCCCAUAAAGUUGUUCUCAGUUCGGAUUGUAGUCUGCAACUCGACUACAUGAAGCUGGAAUCGCUAGUAAUCGUAGAUCAGCAUGCUACGGUGAAUACGUUCCCGGGUCU
rnacentral:rRNA from 1 species